AAGUGGAGCAAUCCAUGAGUAGAGUGGCAAACGGGUGAGUAACACGUGGGUGACCUGCCUUCGAGUGGGGGAUAACGUCCCGAAAGGGACGCUAAUACCGCAUGACAUCCUGCUUUUGGACAAGCGGAGAUCAAAGCCGGGGAUCGCAAGACCUGGCGCUUGAAGAGGGGCCCGCGCCUGAUUAGCUAGUUGGUGGGGUAAUGGCCUACCAAGGCGACGAUCAGUAGCCGGCCUGAGAGGGCGGACGGCCACACUGGGACUGAGACACGGCCCAGACUCCUACGGGAGGCAGCAGUGGGGAAUUGUUCGCAAUGGGCGCAAGCCUGACGACGCAACGCCGCGUGGAGGAUGAAGAUCUUCGGG
rnacentral:rRNA from 1 species